AUUGAACGCNGGCGGCGUGCUUAACACNUGCAAGUCGAACGUGAAAGUCCUUCGGGACGAGUAAAGUGGCGCACGGGUGAGUAACGCGUGGAUAAUCUACCCUUAAGAUGGGGAUAACGGCUGGAAACGGUCGCUAAUACCGAAUACGCUCCCGAUUUUAUCGUUGGGGGGAAAGAUGGCCUCUGCUUGCAAGCUAUCGCUUAAGGAUGAGUCCGCGUCCCAUUAGCUAGUUGGCGGGGUAACGGCCCACCAAGGCGACGAUGGGUAGCCGGUCUGAGAGGAUGACCGGCCACACUGGAACUGGAACACGGUCCAGACUCCUACGGGAGGCAGCAGUGGGGAAUAUUGCGCAAUGGGCGAAAGCCUGACGCAGCGACGCCGCGUGAGGGAUGAAGGUUCUCGGAUCGUAAACCUCUGUCAGGGGGGAAGAAACCCCCUCGUGUGAAUAAUGCGAGGGCUUGACGGUACCCCCAAAGGAAGCACCGGCUAACUCCGUGCCAGCAGCCGCGGUAAUACGGAGGGUGCAAGCGUUAAUCGGAAUCACUGGGCGUAAAGCGCACGUAGGCGGCUUGGUAAGUCAGGGGUGAAAUCCCACAGCCCAACUGUGGAACUGCCUUUGAUACUGCCAGGCUUGAGUACCGGAGAGGGUGGCGGAAUUCCAGGUGUAGGAGUGAAAUCCGUAGAUAUCUGGAGGAACACCGGUGG
rnacentral:rRNA from 1 species